rnacentral:rRNA from 1 species
GAUGAACGCUAGCGGCAGGCCUAACACAUGCAAGUCGAGGGGCAGCACAGAAACAGCAAUGUUUUGGUGGCGACCGGCGGACGGGUGCGUAACGCGUAUGCAACCUACCUUUAACAGGGGGAUAACGGAGAGAAAUUUCCACUAAUACCCCAUAACAUCGAUCAAGGCAUCUUGAUUGGUUGAAAACUCCGGUGGUUAAAGAUGGGCAUGCGUUGUAUUAGGUAGUUGGUGAGGUAAUGGCUCACCAAGCCUACGAUACAUAGGGGGACUGAGAGGUUAGCCCCCCACACUGGUACUGAGACACGGACCGGACUCCUACGGGAGGCAGCAGUGAGGAAUAUUGGUCAAUGGGGGCAACCCUGAACCAGCCAUGCCGCGUGCAGGAAGACGGCUCUAUGAGUUGUAAACUGCUUUUAAACAGAGAUAAAGCACAGUAUGUAUACUGUGUUGAAGGUACUGUAAGAAUAAGGAUCGGCUAACUCCGUGCCAGCAGCCGCAGUAA